CCCCCCGCCGGAAGCCAUCACGGGGGGUCACACCUGCACAAUGCCCUAUGGGGUCAAUUGCCGCGGUAACCUGACCGUGCAAAGGUAGCGUAGUAAAUAGCCUAUUAAUUGUUGGCCCGUAUGAAUGGUACGACGCUGGUAGCACUGUCUCGGCGGCACUUAUUUGAAUUUAACCUUCUGGUGAAAAGGCCAGAAUGCCUCUGAAAGACGAUUAGACCCUGUCGAACUUUAGGUAGAGUGUCAGCAGGCUUAAACAGCCGCCCUGUCCUUAAACCUUUGGUUGGGGAAACCGGGGACUAAGAAAACCGCCCCCUCCUGAGUGUUAACACCCGCUAUGUUAGAGGCAGAAAAGGCUCUGCCUCCAGGGCAAUUGGCCUUCAGGAAAGCAAAAAAUACUUCUAAUCAAAAAGCCUGACAAGGCAUAGACUGCUUAUAAAAUGAACCUAAAGACCCUUCCAGGGAAUCUGUUAAAAAGGAAGAGUUACCGCAGGGAUAACAGCGUAAUCCUUCCGGCGAGACCACAUUAAGGGAAGGGUUUGCGACCUCGAUGUUGGCUCAGGGCCUCCUAGAAGUGCAGGGGCUUCUAAGGGUUGGUCUGUUCCACCAUUAAAGCCCUACGU
rnacentral:rRNA from 1 species